CGCCAUUUUGGCUUCCGGGACUCCGUGAUGGCGGUGGGGUCUGUUUGUCGUUGAUUUGUCCUUCCCAAAGCUUGGCCAGAUGGAGGAGGCUGCGAGGAAGAGGAAGAUGCCUUGGGCCCCCCAGGCAGGAAAUACAAACCAAUUCUUUGAGGCUCUGCUCUGUAGAUGAGUCAGCACCGAGUUAAUGAGUCAGCACCAAGAACCCCCCAGAGACAACUCUGCAAUGCAGCACAGAAUCAGCAGCCACCACAACCUUCAUCUCUCUUGGUAUGACUUGGGAAUCCAGUCCUUUUCUGUUCUUUGCAGGUGAUGAUUGAACCUCACCUUCCUGCUCCCAUCUGAGCAGCAGCCUGUCUUCCUCUGCUCUUUGAUCAAACAAAACUUCUGUCCAAGUGAAUGGCCAUGAAAAGGGAAUGCAAAAGGGACACACCUACACCAGCUAGAAAUGGAAAAGCUUUCUUGACAAAAAAAACCCCCACCAACCAACCAAAACAAAACCACAGAACAAAACACUCACAGUGUUUAGGGUGUAUUUGCUCAAUUCUCUCAUUUCCAAUUGUUAUGAAGAGAACAGCCAGAGGGGUUUAGAGCCUCAGUCACUGUAAAUCAGCACAUUGGAACUGACUUUCUUACAACUAAAGAACUUUGUGGGUUCUGGCUCAAUAUAUUGCCAAUGGUUUCUAUUACUAUUAUUAAACAAAUUCUCUAAGUCUAUCCAGUAACUGCUCCUUGUCAGCACUUUCAGCUUCUAUUCUAAAAUGAAGCCAGGUAACACCUGAAAAGCGAAUUUAGUAAAGCAGUGUAAGGAUUAGAGAGAGUUAAGCACAAAUGCAGGCUUUCAACAAGGCACAGAGAACUCAGUAUUAGGAAAAAGCUGAAGCAAUAAAUUCACUAUACCAGGACACUGACACAAAGAGAACAUAAACAUAAACAGAAAAUGCCAGCACACACAAAAAUGGACAUAUGGAGGGAAAACAAAGAGAGAUAAGAAGAGGGACAAGCCAAGAAAUUAAGCACUCUUGCCAGAUACUGAAAAUCCCUGCCAAAUGCACAAGGAAACUACCCAAAUUAGGGAAGGUUCAAAAGUUUAGGAGGAUGAUGAUGAAAAGGACAAUCGGUUCAUGAUGAAGAAAGACCAGAACUACCACCGAAGUUCUCCCCAAAUUGAAGACCACGCCUCUAACUCCGCCUCAACUCCGCCUGUUAUGAAUAUUAAAAGUAGAUGUUGCAAUGUAA